UGGUGAAGGCGCCGCCGCGGCCCCGGCGCCUAGCUCGGGGCUGGGCAUCAAGGCUGUGCUGAAAAAGUUGGCUGAGUACAUCUUCCUCUUCUCCAGUACUGCUCCCUGGGCUUACAUUGCAAUCUAACUUGGCUAUUUCCUGUGGUCAGUAAGAGCAUGGGCUCCAAACCCUGCUUUGGCUUGAAUCUCAGCACUACCACUUAACCCAGGCUCCAACUUUGCACAUCAGUAGAAGAAUAGUCAUGUGUA